GCCGAGGUGGCAGAAAGUGCGGUGGGUUGUAGCCCUAACAAUGCGACUAUAACGUCGUCUUCGGUA
rnacentral:tRNA from 1 species